rnacentral:rRNA from 1 species
UGGGAAUUUUGGACAAUGGGCGAAAGCCUGAUCCAGCAAUGCCGCGUGUGUGAAGAAGGCCUUCGGGUUGUAAAGCACUUUUGUCCGGAAAGAAAUCCUUGGCUCUAAUACAGUCGGGGGAUGACGGUACCGGAAGAAUAAGCACCGGCUAACUACGUGCCAGCAGCCGCGGUAAUACGUAGGGUGCAAGCGUUAAUCGGAAUUACUGGGCGUAAAGCGUGCGCAGGCGGUUUGCUAAGACCGAUGUGAAAUCCCCGGGGCUCAAACCUGGGGAAACUGCAUUUGGGUGACUGGCAGGCUAGAGUAUGGCAGAGGGGGGUAGAAUUCCACGUGUAGCAGUGAAAAUGCGUAGAGAUGUGGAGGAAUACCGAUGGCGAAGGCAGCCCCCUGGGCCAAAUACUGACGCUCAUGCACGAAAGCGUGGGGGAGCAAAACAGGAUUAGAUACCCUGGUAGUCCACGCCCUAAACGAUGUCAACUAGUUGUUGGGGACUUCAUUUUCCUUAGUAACGUAGCUAACGCGUGAAGUUGACCGCCUGGGGAGUACGGUCGCAAGAUUAAAACUCAAAGGAAUUGACGGGGUCAUA